rnacentral:rRNA from 1 species
UACAGAGGGUGCAAGCGUUAAUCGGAAUUACUGGGCGUAAAGCGCGCGUAGGUGGUUGAUUAAGUUGGAUGUGAAAUCCCCGGGCUUAACCUGGGUCGGUCAUCCAAAACUGAUCAACUAGAGUAUGGUAGAGGGUAGUGGAAUUCCUAGUGUAGCGGUGAAAUGCGUAGAUAUUAGGAGGAACACCAGUGGCGAAGGCGACUGCCUGGACUGAUACUGACACUGAGGUGCGAAAGCGUGGGGAGCGAACAGG